rnacentral:rRNA from 1 species
AGGAUUAACGCUGGCGGCGUGCCUAACACAUGCAAGUCGAACGAGGUAGCAAUACCUAGUGGCAGACGGGUGAGUAACGCGUGGUCAACCUACCGUUGAGUGGGGGAUAACUAGCCGAAAGGUUAGCUAAUACCGCAUACGAGUCUCGGGGGCAUCCCUGGGCCUUAAAAGGAGCAAUCCGCUCGAUGACGGGACCGCGUCCCAUUAGCUAGAUGGUGGGGUAACGGCCUACCAUGGCACCGAUGGGUAGCUGGUUUGAGAGAGCGACCAGCCACACUGGGACUGAGAAACGGCCCAGACUCCUACGGGAGGCAGCAGUGAGGAAUUUUCCGCAAUGGGCGAAAGCCUGACGGAGCGACGCCGCGUGUGGGAAGAAGGCCUUCGGGUCGUAAACCACUGUCGAAGGGGACGAUAAUGACGGUACCCUUGGAGGAAGCCCCGGCUAACCUACGUGCCAGCAGCCGC